CCUUAAUUUGAAAACGUAUCUUUAAAGAUACAACAACUUUAAAAAAAUCUGUAACAUUAAAUAAUUGUAUUUUUUUGAAUCGAUCAAUUUAAUUAUAAAGUUUGACUCAUGACAUCACUAGGAAAAGUAAGUCUAUUGCAUUUUCAACAACUGGACAUACCUAUUUACGUCAACCUGAAAAAAUGACGGACGAGAAGAGCAACAAAGCUGUAUUACAACGAGCAAGAUCCAAGCACAUUCUAGCGUUGAUUCCUGCAGGAAAUGCACGAUCGGACGACAGUGACACAACAGACAAUGAGGAAGAUAACACAUCUUUGCCAGUUUAUGGAAUACAACAUGAUUCUUAUAGUAGUUCCUCAACACCUUCACUGGAUUCGGAUAAAAUGUAAUGUGAGAUUAUGUCUAACUAAACAACGGAACUGUUUUCACGAUUUUCAUGUAAAAAAAUAAAUUUUCUUACCAA
rnacentral:lncRNA from 1 species